rnacentral:rRNA from 1 species
AUUGAACGCUGGCGGCAGGCUUAACACAUGCACGUCGAACGAGUGGCGGACGGGUGAGUAAUGCUUGGGAAUCUAGCUUAUGGAGGGGGAUAACUACGGGAAACUGUAGCUAAUACCGCGUACCAUAGGAUGAGCCCAAGUGGGAUUAGGUAGUUGGUGAGGUGAAGGCUCACAAAGCCGACGAUCUCUAGCUGGUCUGUGAGGAUGACCAGCGACACUGGGACUGCGACACGGCCCGGACUCCUACGGGAGGGAGCAUUGGAGAAUAUUGCGCAAUGGGGGCAACCCUGACGCAGCCAUGCCGCGUGUAUUAAGAAGGCCUUAGGGUUUUAAAGGACUUUCAGCGGGGAGGCGUUACCCGCAGAAGAAGCACCGGCUAACUCCGUGCCAGCAGCCGCGGUAAUAC